GCAGAGAAUGAUACAACGAAAGGGUGAUAUUCGACUAGGAGGUAAAAAGAGAAAUAGCCUGGCAAAGGUAAACCGAUUGAAAGAAAAAGAUGAUAUUCGGCCAAGAGAGCACAAAUUGAGGAAGAGAAUAAGAAAGAAAAAGGAAUGGAGAAUCAAAAGCCGACAAAUGAAAGAAAGAAAGGAGAAUUCGGCAGAGGAGGGAACCAAAAUACUAUUUGGCCAAAACCAAAAGAAUAAAAGGGAAGGGCAAAAAAGUAAUCGAACAAACCCAAGAUAUACACAAAAACUUAGCGAAAAUUCGGC
rnacentral:lncRNA from 1 species